CAAAGGCCACAUUCUCCUGUGCAC
rnacentral:miRNA from 1 species